AUUGAACGCUGGCGGCAGGCCUAACACAUGCAAGUCGAGCGGUAGAGAGGUGCUUGCAUCUCUUGAGAGCGGCGGACGGGUGAGUAAUGCCUAGGAAUCUGCCUAGUGGUGGGGGAUAACGUUCGGAAACGGACGCUAAUACCGCAUACGUCCUACGGGAGAAAGCGGGGGGAUCUUCGGACCUCGCGCCAUUAGAUGAGCCUAGGUCGGAUUAGCUAGUUGGUGAGGUAAUGGCUCACCAAGGCGACGAUCCGUAACUGGUCUGAGAGGAUGAUCAGUCACACUGGAACUGAGACACGGUCCAGACUCCUACGGGAGGCAGCAGUGGGGAAUAUUGGACAAUGGGCGAAAGCCUGAUCCAGCCAUGCCGCGUGUGUGAAGAAGGUCUUCGGAUUGUAAAGCACUUUAAGUUGGGAGGAAGGGUAGGUAACCUAAUACGUUGCUACUUGACGUUACCGACAGAAUAAGCACCGGCUAAC
rnacentral:rRNA from 1 species